rnacentral:tRNA from 1 species
GCCUUCUUGGUGUAAUGGUCAGCACAAUCGGCGCAUAUUCGAGAGAUCCAAGGUUCGAGUCCCGGUGAAGGCA